UCAAUUUCUUCCUGGAUGCGUGAUAUAAUUCUGGAGAUUUGUUCUUUCGUGGGAACACUUCCACGGCUGGACACUGGGAAAACAGUAUUUACAAGAUCUGAAAGGCCACCUAAACACAAAGCCAAGAAAGCUGUCUGGAAAAUCUCAAUAGCUUGAACCAUCUCUUCUUUCCCUUCCAAGCUGAUGGCUGGAAAAACUCCCUUGACAUCUGUAUCUCGUGAGAUCCUUUCUAAUAGAUUCUCUAUCAAUGAGAAGAGCUUUGGAUAUCCCACAGUAAAUAUCUCCUUAAC
rnacentral:misc_RNA from 1 species